GCUGGCGUGUCUCACAUCUCUCCGGCUGGAAUCGGAGCUUUCUGUCCCUUUCUCCUGGCCUUUAGGAGUGUGUGACUUCAGCUACGAGACUUCCUUCGGCAGACUCAGUUACCGCGAGGGACGUGGGUGUGUAUGAGGAGAGACGGUCAGGCAAUUGUGGUGAUGCUUAAGGCCUUUGGGUCGUGAUGCACCAAAUCUCAAAGUGGCGAGAGUGGAAGGAGCCCGGAGAUAGCAAAAGCACCCUAAAUGGAGUAGAGGAAAUGCUUUCACUGGCAUUUUAAAAAUCAUCCUCACAGAACUCGGUGAGGUGGACCUUUGGGUCAUACUCAUCUUACAGACCGAGAGGGGCAUCCUGAGAAGUUACUUGCCCAAGAUCACAGAACAGUUCGUAGCAUAGGCACAGCUCAAACCCGAGUCACUGGCUCCCUGUUCAGUUUUCUUUCAAACGAGCUUAGGGUUUAUCUCACUGUUCGGUGUAUCACCACUGUAUAGUGGUUACAUUUUAAAAGUUUUUUUGCAUUCAAGUGUGGAUCCUAACGGGUAGAUUGAGAACUUUUAAAUGGAGGGGGUGGUGCAUAGGAAUUACGGCUGAAAAAAGUCUCUUUUGCCCCUGGUUUCAUACAUGCUGAUGGGUCCUAAGAAAAACCUCACUGAUGGAGAAAACCACUGCUGACUCAGAGGAAAUACUACAGUACAACCUGAUCCGCUGUUUGUUGAAUCCAAGGAUGCAGAACCGUGGCUGUGGAGGAAAUAACGGAUGUGGAGGAACCACUCCUGAGGAGAGUUGACAAUAUGUUAUACUCAAAUCUUCUACUGCGAGGAGGGUCAGCGACCCGAACCCCCUUAGUUA